rnacentral:lncRNA from 1 species
ACAUAACCACGCACUAGCAGCCGUGCCAUGGAAGGUCUCCUCCCCGCCCCUCUCCCACCCAGACUGUUGGUUAGUUUUCAUUUGGCCGCUCCCUUCCCUGAUGUGUCUUCCUCACGCCCGCGCAGGUUCUCUAUGUGCUUGCUUCUUCCCUUCCCAAGACGCUGUUGCUCCGACCCCAUGGAUAAUGUAAGAAUCUCUCUUCCCUCCCCUUCAGUUCGUCUCCUUCAUCCGGCCUAAAUUUGCUUACUGCACCACAAUAAAUAUUUCUUCAGAGAGGAGAAGAGGAGAGGUCCUGCAAUCCAACUUGUCUUCUUGAACAAUUGAAGCACAAUUAUUUGCAGCACCUGAAGUUUCAGACUAAAUAAAUUAUGUUGGCCACCUUUAUUUGGAAAAUUUAUCCUAUGUAUCAUGCAACUAUAGUUUCCUAUAGAAGGCCUUGUGCUUUCCGUUCCAAAAGUGCCACCAGUACGCAACGGACGUUCCAAAAAGUGCCGGUGGAAAAUUGUGAAAUCGGUAGUGCAGUUUGCAUCUUUGUAACAGAACAUGUUAUAAGAUGCAAACUAAAACUUGGACUCUGUAUCUAGUGUAUGGAGGUUUAAGUGAUUAUGUGAAUCUCCUUUUCCUCCAGUUGUGCCGCAGAUUUCAAUCAUUAUUUAUUUGCUUUAGAGACUGAAAAAUCAAGAGAGAGAUUAUGAAGUGUUUCUUUGCUGCUGAGAACACUGUACGUAUUCACUGUAAUUGACAUCCCUACUGUAUCAAUGUGUCUCCUUGCCCAUGCAGGUGCAGGACAGAGCCGCCAUAUGGUGUGCACGGUGAUUCUUUUUCCACUCUAAUGCCUUCCGCGCUACGUGUCCGAUGGACCCGAUUUUACUUCCACUCCGACAUAGCUAAUGGUAAGCCACUGGUGUUCUCUCUCGCUCUCAUGCUCUAUGUGUCCACGCCCAUCAUGCCAUGCUGAUUUAUAGUUGCCACCCAGACUCUUAUUAUCAAGCUGCUGCUUGGAGUUGUGAAAAGAUGUAGAAAGGGACUUGUUUGUUCACUGUUAACUGUGGUAUGAUGCUUGGUUCAAAAAUAAAAAGGGCUAGAAUGGGAAAAAGGGUCAUCAAUGUGAACUAAAAGUCUAUUGUUUUUUUUCUGGGUCUCCUUUGCAUUUUUAUUGUCAUGUUUCAUGCUUCAUAGCGUGUGUAUGUGCAUAUAAUUACACACAUAUACACUAGUUUGUAAUGUCACUAUAAAUAGAUGAUUCAUCAGACCAUCAGAGUUUGCAUCAGACUAUAAUCGAUGAUGCAACAGACCAUCAAAUCGAAAGGAGGAUAAUCUGCUACUUCAGGCAUUUACAUGAUAGCUUGUUUCUAUGUGUACUGUGUAAUAUGAAGUAAAAAAAAGUGUAGUUUGAUUCAGUGUCAUGCUUUACCAUUGAAUGAUCUUGAGCAACAUUGCACCAGCACGUGACUAGGGUGGAAAAGGUCAAGGGAAAACUAUCCCAGAGUCCGUUCUGAACUUAUAUUCAAAGCAAUGGGUAUUGAGCCUGAUAUUAUGUUUGCUGGGCAACUCGAAUCUAAAAGUGCAGGUCAAGAAACACCAGAACUAUUUCAUGUUUGUAUAUUUUUUAUUUACUCUGUCGUUUGUUUAUGUUUCCAGAUUAUUGUCGAGAUGUAGCUCGUUUGGUUCAUAUAAAUCUUAUUCCAAGCCUUUAUAUAGUUGUUUUAGGUCUAAUAUUUCACAGCAUUUCGAAGACAUUAAAGUUAUCAUUGACUUACACUGCACUGGACAUAUGAAAGUUAUCUUUUAUUUCACUCAAGUUUAACCUCAAGCCUAAGACUUAUUGGUCGAUAAGCACUGCUAAUGUUCAGAUUGAAAACGAAGCCCUAGGUCAGUGCUAGAGUAACUAUCUGGUGCUUCAACCCAGCCAGAGAUGAAUUCUGCACCCGGGUUUCUUCCUUCUUGUUGAUAAAAGUUAAGGGGCCCCUCCUCAUGUUGUGUUGAUUUAUAGUGUCCAGAUUGGUUAAGUUCCACCUUGCUCGAUGAAAGAUCUGCUUAUAGUACUUGAUAAAGGAAUUGUCAGUUCCUAAAUUCUCCUCUUUUGCGUUUAUGAUAAUUAGCGGAGUUGCAUGGUCUCACAAUGUUUAUGUGGUGGUUAGUUGCUCGAGCUUUUUUCUGCUUGUAUUUCAAUACUGGAAAAUAGAAGAGGCUAUCAAUGUCAGCACAGAGCUGCUGGGCUAUAGCAAUCUAACUAAUCAAGUUUCACAAUGACUUGUUGGUUCUCAACCGUUGUAGUUCAGAGCUGUAUGUCUAGUUUAAACUCGAGCUAACUCUGACCGAUGUAGAUGGUUUCCAAUAUAAUGCUACAUAAUUUCCCCUUUUGUAUUCCUCACCCUUGUUUGGCACUACUUUUUUUUAUCAGCAUAUGCAAACUUUUAUGUAACAUGCAAACUCUCAUGGAUCUGUAGUACGUGUGUUUGUAAGAACUUGAAUGCUGGUUUGAUGCUUUAUUUUCUACAAAGCUGGGCUAUAUAUUCAUGGCUGUUUCUUGAUAACUGUGCAUGUAACUGGGUUUCUUCAUUGAAUUAAAAUAAGUAUGUUUUUGGCUUUGGCCUAUAUGCUGCCUAAUUAAACUUAAAAAUUAGAGAGAAAUAAGAAAACUAGGAGAGAUGCAUAGAUUUAAUUAGAGAGGAAGUGCAAUCAAGUAUUUGUUUACUUUUCAUUUAAGCAAGCCAGUUUGUUGUACAUCUUUUGUUUUUGAUUUUUGGACUCAAGAGCAACUCAGAAGUUUGAACAAAUGAUAUUGCUGAAACAUACGAGUGAUCUUGCAGGAUAUAAUGGCAGAAGGUAUCAAAUCGAAGAUGUUAUGGCUUUUCUUCAUGGCAUGCAUGGUCGACCUACUUUCAUCAUAUGGAAGUUGUUGUUGGUUCGAUGAACAAAGACUUGGUAUGUUCCAUAGUGUUUUAUAUAGUGACCAGACAUGAGUCUCUUAUGAACUUAGCCCGUAUUUUGUAACAUGUCACAACUUGUAUGUCGACCUAUGUAUUUCCUUAGUGGUUGUAGCUAACUUGAGUGAAGAAAAUUAAUGAAUCUUCUAUAUGUUCAAUAUAUAUGUAUUUAUCAAUGGUAUCUUGUGAUGAAUACAAGAGUGCAAUUGUUUAUAUAUGUAUUGCGCAUUGAACAUGAAUUGAAUAUUAUGAAUGUAAUUUCAUUCAAAAUAUGGUGUGUUUGCAUUUGUGCUGAAAUGUAGGACCCUGG